rnacentral:tRNA from 3 species
GCGAAGGUGGCGGAAUUGGUAGACGCGCUAGCUUCAGGUGUUAGUGUCCUUAGGAUGUGGGGGUUCGAGCCCCCCCCCUCGCACCA